GCAUAAUAAAUAGUUUUUUAAUUGAAAACUGGAAUGAAGGGUAGAAACUAAUAGGAAUGUUUUAUUUAAAAAUUUUGAAAUUAAAUUAAAAGUAAAAAUGCUUUUAUUAAUUCUUGGGACGAGAAGACCCUAGAAGCUUAAAAUUAAAUAAUUUUUGAUUGGGGCAAUUAAUUGAAGAUAAUUAUUUUUAUAUAGUAUUAAUGAAAUUUGAAAAAGUUACUCUAGGGAUAACAGCGUUAUUUAGUUAGCAAGUUCUUAUUAAUAAUUAAGUUUGCGACCUCGAUGUUGAAUUAAUU
rnacentral:rRNA from 1 species